CGCGACCCGCCGCUCUUUGCCGGUCGGGCCGGGGCUGGGAAAGCGCGGGAAAGGGGGCGCUGAUUUAAAUGCGGGGUCGGGGAUUGGCUGUGCGCGGCGUGACGUCACUUCCCAAAGGGGGCGAUCGCCCCGCGAGGGGAGCAGAAGUUGGGCGGCGGGGCGGGAGCGCGGGUGUCGCUCGGGCGGGCCGGGACGGGAGGGGACGGCGGCGGGACCGGCCCGGGGCAGCGCCCCUCGGCACGGCACGGCACAACACGGCACGCCCGGUGCGGCUCCCCCCGGCUUCCCGCAGCCCGCCCCGAGCCCCCGGCGCAGCCCCGCAGCCGGCGGUGCCGCCCGCAGCUCGUCCUCUCCAUCUCCUAUUUAUCUUCUUCUCUUAUUUCAUUUUUUUUUCUUUUUUUUUUUUUUUUUUUAUGUCUGUCUGUGUGGUUCCCGGUGGCAGCUCCCAGCCGCCCUGCCCCGGCCGUGCCCGCACCCUGGAGCGGACGGACGGACGGACGGAUGGCCGGCAUCCCCGACGGAGGGAUGUUUCUGUCUUUGGUUAUCUAGCUGUAUGAGUGUUGUGGAGCCAUCAUAAAGCUAGAUAACCGAAAGUAGAAAUGACUUCCAGACCUGCUCGCCCGGGGGAAGCGGCCGCAGCGGGACCGGCGGUGCGGAGCCCACCCGACCCUCCGCCCUCGGUGCUCCAGACACGACUGUGAGUUCGCAGAGUGGAAUGCCUUGGGAAGGGCUGGGACGUCUCCACCUGAGCAAGGAGAGGGGUCUUGUAUAGAAUCUACACUGGAACCCUUGGGGUAUUGGAAAGGAAGGAUCAGCCCCCAGAGGCAGAUCCCAGUGAGUGGAGAAGGGACUUUUCAAGCCUGUGAGUUCCCUUUUGCAGUUGGCUACCACCUGUCCAGACUUGCCAUCUGAUGUCUCCAGGUUUCUGCAGGAGCGUCUCAACUUGCUUCUCCGAUGGCACCAGAGAGGAGGCAGCUUUGGCUCAUGAACACAGAGGGUUUCUGCAUCGCUUCGAAUCACGCUGGUCCAGCCAUGGGGAGUGAACCAGGGCAACACAGGGAGCCAGGGGACCAUCCCACAUCACUCCUGUACGUUGUCUUUGGUGCCCUAAAUACCCCAGAGCAGGACCACGGUGCUUAGGCAGAGGGAUCUGAGCGAGCCACUGCCUCACCUGGCAAAAUACUGGGUGUGUGAACAUUGGAGGGAGCUUUUAGCACCGGGCUUUGCUCAUGGAGCAGAGCUCGGCCCUUGCCGCUUUUCAUCCCUGGGUGUGCGGAACACAGCCGUCCCAACAGCGUUGUGCUCAAGGCCCAAAGGACUGUGAGUCUGUCUGGGCCAGGCGGCCCUGCUGCUGUUUUAUUGCACCCUUUCUGUUCCUGUAAGAGAAAUGUACUGGCUGUAAUUCUCUCCCAUUAAAAUCCCCCAACCCCCACCCCAUGCACUGUUGAAAAUAAACUCUCCC